CGCGUAGGCGGUCUCUUAAGUCAGAUGUGAAAGCCCGGGGCUUAACCCCGGAAGUGCAUUUGAAACUAAGGGACUUGAGUAUGGGAGAGGGAAGUGGAAUUCCUGGUGUAGCGGUGAAAUGCGUAGAUAUCAGGAGGAACACCGGUGGCGAAGGCGACUUCCUGGACCAAUACUGACGCUAAGGCGCGAAGGCGUGGGGAGCAAACAGGAUUAGAUACCCUGGUAGUCC
rnacentral:rRNA from 1 species